GAGUCUGCGCUUUCAUUAGCUAGUUGGUGGGGUGACGGCCUACCAAGGCAACGAUGGGUAGCCGAUCUGAGAGGAUGAUCGGCCACACUGGAACUGAAACACGGUCCAGACUCCUACGGGAGGCAGCAGUGGGGAAUAUUGCGCAAUGGGCGAAAGCCUGACGCAUAGACUCCGUGUGAGGGAUGAAGGUCUUCUGAUCGUUAAACCUCUGUCAGAAUGUAAKAUACUAGGGUGCUCUAAUCUUCAUCYUACUGACUGUWCCUUCUAAGGAAACWCCGGCUWACUCYGU
rnacentral:rRNA from 1 species